rnacentral:rRNA from 1 species
GGGUUGUGAGGUUAAGCGACUAAGCGUACACGGUGGAUGCCCUGGCAGUCAGAGGCGAUGAAGGACGUGCUAAUCUGCGAAAAGCGUCGGUAAGGUGAUAUGAACCGUUAUAACCGGCGAUGUCCGAAUGGGGAAACCCAGUGCAAUUCGUUGCACUAUCGUUAACUGAAUACAUAGGUUAACGAGGCGAACCGGGGGAACUGAAACAUCUAAGUACCCCGAGGAAAAGAAAUCAACCGAGAUUCCCCCAGUAGCGGCGAGCGAACGGGGAGCAGCCCAGAGUCUGAAUCAGCUUGUGUGUUAGUGGAACGGUCUGGAAAGUCCGACGGUACAGGGUGAUAGUCCCGUACACCAAAAUGCACAGGUUGUGAACUCGAAGAGUAGGGCGGGACACGUGGUAUCCUGUCUGAAUAUGGGGGGACCAUCCUCCAAGGCUAAAUACUCCUGACUGACCGAUAGUGAACCAGUACCGUGAGGGAAAGGCGAAAAGAACCCCGGCGAGGGGAGUGAAAAAGAACCUGAAACCGUGUACGUACAAGCAGUGGGAGCACCUUCGGGUGUGACUGCGUACCUUUUGUAUAAUGGGUCAGCGACUUAUAUUCUGUAGCAAGGUUAACCGUAUAGGGGAGCCGCAGGGAAACCGAGUCUUAACUGGGCGUUAAGUUGCAGGGUAUAGACCCGAAACCCGGUGAUCUAGCCAUGGGCAGGUUGAAGGUUGGGUAACACUAACUGGAGGACCGAACCGACUAAUGUUGAAAAAUUAGCGGAUGACUUGUGGCUGGGGGUGAAAGGCCAAUCAAACCGGGAGAUAGCUGGUUCUCCCCGAAAGCUAUUUAGGUAGCGCCUCGUGAAUUCAUCUUCGGGGGUAGAGCACUGUUUCGGCUAGGGGGUCAUCCCGACUUACCAACCCGAUGCAAACUACGAAUACCGAAGAAUGUUAUCACGGGAGACACACGGCGGGUGCUAACGUCCGUCGUGAAGAGGGAAACAACCCAGACCGCCAGCUAAGGUCCCAAAGUCAUGGUUAAGUGGGAAACGAUGUGGGAAGGCACAGACAGCCAGGAUGUUGGCUUAGAAGCAGCCAUCAUUUAAAGAAAGCGUAAUAGCUCACUGGUCGAGUCGGCCUGCGCGGAAGAUGUAACGGGGCUAAACCAUGCACCGAAGCUGCGGCAGCGACACUAUGUGUUGUUGGGUAGGGGAGCGUUCUGUAAGCCUGCGAAGGUGACCUGUGAGGGUUGCUGGAGGUAUCAGAAGUGCGAAUGCUGACAUAAGUAACGAUAAAGCGGGUGAAAAGCCCGCUCGCCGGAAGACCAAGGGUUCCUGUCCAACGUUAAUCGGGGCAGGGUGAGUCGACCCCUAAGGCGAGGCCGAAAGGCGUAGUCGAUGGGAAACAGGUUAAUAUUCCUGUACUUGGUGUUACUGCGAAGGGGGGACGGAGAAGGCUAUGUUAGCCGGGCGACGGUUGUCCCGGUUUAAGCAUGUAGGCUGGUUAUCCAGGCAAAUCCGGAUAAUCAAGGCUGAGGUGUGAUGACGAGGCACUACGGUGCUGAAGUAACAAAUGCCCUGCUUCCAGGAAAAGCCUCUAAGCAUCAGGUAACAUCAAAUCGUACCCCAAACCGACACAGGUGGUCAGGUAGAGAAUACCAAGGCGCUUGAGAGAACUCGGGUGAAGGAACUAGGCAAAAUGGUGCCGUAACUUCGGGAGAAGGCACGCUGGUGUGUAGGUGAAGUCCCUGCGGAUGGAGCUGAGACCAGUCGAAGAUACCAGCUGGCUGCAACUGUUUAUUAAAAACACAGCACUGUGCAAACACGAAAGUGGACGUAUACGGUGUGACGCCUGCCCGGUGCCGGAAGGUUAAUUGAUGGGGUUAUCCGUAAGGAGAAGCUCUUGAUCGAAGCCCCGGUAAACGGCGGCCGUAACUAUAACGGUCCUAAGGUAGCGAAAUUCCUUGUCGGGUAAGUUCCGACCUGCACGAAUGGCGUAAUGAUGGCCAGGCUGUCUCCACCCGAGACUCAGUGAAAUUGAACUCGCUGUGAAGAUGCAGUGUACCCGCGGCAAGACGGAAAGACCCCGUGAACCUUUACUAUAGCUUGACACUGAACAUUGAGCCUUGAUGUGUAGGAUAGGUGGGAGGCUUUGAAGCGUGGACGCCAGUCUGCGUGGAGCCAACCUUGAAAUACCACCCUUUAAUGUUUGAUGUUCUAACGUUGGCCCCUGACCGGGGUUGCGGACAGUGUCUGGUGGGUAGUUUGACUGGGGCGGUCUCCUCCCAAAGCGUAACGGAGGAGCACGAAGGUUAGCUAAUCCUGGUCGGACAUCAGGAGGUUAGUGCAAUGGCAUAAGCUAGCUUGACUGCGAGCGUGACGGCGCGAGCAGGUGCGAAAGCAGGUCAUAGUGAUCCGGUGGUUCUGAAUGGAAGGGCCAUCGCUCAACGGAUAAAAGGUACUCCGGGGAUAACAGGCUGAUACCGCCCAAGAGUUCAUAUCGACGGCGGUGUUUGGCACCUCGAUGUCGGCUCAUCACAUCCUGGGGCUGAAGUAGGUCCCAAGGGUAUGGCUGUUCGCCAUUUAAAGUGGUACGCGAGCUGGGUUUAGAACGUCGUGAGACAGUUCGGUCCCUAUCUGCCGUGGGCGCUGGAGAAUUGAGGGGGGCUGCUCCUAGUACGAGAGGACCGGAGUGGACGCAUCACUGGUGUUCGGGUUGUCAUGCCAAUGGCACUGCCCGGUAGCUAAAUGCGGAAGAGAUAAGUGCUGAAAGCAUCUAAGCACGAAACUUGCCCCGAGAUGAGUUCUCCCUGAGACUUUAAGUCUCCUGAAGGAACGUUAAAGACGAUGACGUUGAUAGGCCGGGUGUGUAAGCGCAGCGAUGCGUUGAGCUAACCGGUACUAAUGAACCGUGAGGCUUAACCUUACAACGCCGAAG